UUUUGGAAAGGGUUUUGUCAUGGGACGAAACAUAUUAUUCACGGCCUUGAAGUUAACUGCUAUCCUCAUUGGGUUAAGAAUCUUAGUUUUGUUCACUUCCACAUUUGACCCAAGUCUUCUUCUGAAAGUGUUAUUCCCUUUUGAGGCCAUGAUUGAUGUCAAUUGAGAUUUUGACUACUCAACUUAGUGCUUUGAAACUCUUUUCAUUCUGCUGUGAGCUAGCUCUAUAACUGUUCUCUCUCUCUUUGUGACUGAUUAUUAUUUAUUUGUGCUAUGUAAUUUUUUUUCUAUAAUUUUAUGUAUUCUUGCAGUCGAUGGAGAAGAACAAGGCUGGAUGGAUGACCCUGUUUGAGCCUUUCCCAUUUUUUGAAGUAUACGGAAAUUAUUUGCAGAUAGAUAUAUAGCAGCUAAGAAUGAUGAUGACUUGAGGAAAUGGAAAGGCUGGGUUGGGUCUCGGAUUCGCCAGCUUACUCUGAAGAUUGAGAGGGACCCAAAAAGCAUGCUUCAGUGCCACCCACACCCUGGUGAAUUUUCUGAUAAAUCCAGACCGUUUCAUUAUUGUUAUUUCAUGGGUCUGUGGCGGAAAACAAGCACUAAUGCUCAGGAAGGUGAACAAUUCGAUUUGAGGUUGACUCUGGAGGAAUUUAAGCGCUGUGUGUUAAUGUACAUCUCCUGGAGUCCUGGAAUGUGGAUCCAUGUAUGCCAUGUAAGACGUAAGAACAUUCCUCCUUUUGUAUUCGGCCACCCCAACUUACAAAAGUAGCUGGAGAGACUCUUUCUACUGCAAAAACAAAGCAUGGAGGCAAGUGGCAGCAGCCUCUUAAGGUGUACAAGAGACGAGGAAGAGAUGCCUCUAAGGCCUAAGCUUUGAUUUGGCAUGCAUUGGAUGAUGAACACCUUAUUUGGGACCGUGCCUAGUUAUGUUUUAGGCUUAUGAGUCAUGUUUUAUUAUUAUUAUUUUAGUUUAGGGUAUUUCGGUAAUUUCAUAAUUUGUAGACAUAGGUUAUACGGAUUGCUCAUGGGUCGUCUUGUGGGUCAAGUUAUUAGAUUUUAUUUAUGUUCCUUAUUUAGUCUUAAAUUAGUUUUGGAAGUCCAAACUAUUAUACUAGUUUCCUUUUUUGGUUCUAAUUGGUUUAGGAAGUCUCUUAGUUCUAUAUAAAGCCAUGUAAUGCUUUUAAUUAUAUAGACUUGAUAUUUCAGAGAA